rnacentral:rRNA from 1 species
CCUGGAUAAUCCUUCUAGUAGACAUAUUCUUGUAUCAAAUAUUAAUCCAUGCAUGUGUAAUUAUGAGAAAAUUGACUAUGAAAUUGCAAAGCCCUAUUAAAUCAGUUAUAGUUUUUUGAUGGUAUUCACUACUUGAAUAACCAUAGUAAUUCUAAAGUUAAUAUGACAACAAACCCCAACUUAUGGAACUAAUGCAUUUGUUAAAAAGGUUGGCAUAGGAUCUACCUAUUGCUACAAUAAUUCAUAACAACUCAAUAGAUCACACAGCCAUUAUGCCAGUGAUGCAUUAUUCAAAUUUUUUCCCUAUUAAAUUUUAAUAGUGGAUAGAAGCCUACCAUGGUGGUGAUAGAUGAUGGAGAAUUAUGGUUUAUUUCUAGAGAGAGAUCUUAAGAAAUAACUACCACAUCUAAGGAAGGCAACAGACGCAUAAAUUUCUAAAACUUGACAUAAGGAGUUAGUGACAAUAAGUAACAAUAUCAGGUUAUAUGAGUUUGGUAAUUGGGAUGAGUACAAUAUAAAUCCCUUAAUAAGGAUCCAUUGUAGCACAAGUUUGGUUCUACCAGUUGCGGUAAUUCUAGCUCCAACAAUAUAUAUUUAAGUUGUUGUAGCUAAAAAGCUCAUAGUAAGUAUUUGGGGGUUGUUCAGUUCAUCUUUUGGUGUGCACUGGUCAUCUCAUCCCAUCUAUGGGUAAUAUGUUCCUACCUUUAAUUAGUUGGAUCAUGCCUUGGACGUUGUUUCUUUAAAAAAAUUAGAGUGCUCAAAGAAAACCUAUGCUCUAUAUACAUUAGCAUGGGAAAAUAUUAUAGGAUUUUUGUUCUAUUACAUUAGCCUUUGGGAUUUGUGUAAUGAUUUAUAGGGACAGUCAGGGGCAUUUGUGUUUAAUAGUUAGAGGUGAAAUUCUUGAAUUUAUGAAAGACGAACAACUUCAAAAGCAUUUGCCAUGUAUGUUUUCAUUAAUCAAAAAUAGAAGUUGGGGGCUCAAAGAUAGUCAGAUACAGUCCUAGUCUCAACCAUAAAUAAUGUUGACCACAUAUCGACAAAUGUUGAUUUUAAGACUAUAUCGGCUCCUUAUGAGAAAUCAAAGUGUUUGGGUUCUAGGAAAGGAGAUAUAGUAUCAAGGCUAAAACUUAAAGGAACUAAACGAAAGACACCACUAAGAGUGGAGCCUGAGACUUAAUUUAACUCAACACAGGGAAACUUAUUAGUCCAUUCAUAUUAAAGAUUGAUAGAUUAAGAGUUCUUUAUUAUUAUAUAGAUGGGGGUGCAUUGACAUUCUUAGUUGGAAGAGUGGUUUAACGGGUUAAUAUCAUUGACGAAUAAACCCUAUCUUACUAACUAGCUAUGUGGAGGUAUCCCUGCAUAAAACAUCCUAUGUUCUAACCCGUGCAAAAUUCUAUGAGUUUAAGCCUUCUAUUGAUCAUAUAACUCACCAUACUAGUCAUAUAGUGUGGUAUGGGUCUAGGGACCGUAUUCAUAUGUGGUCAGUGUGAUGUUGUCCAAGUUUUGUUUUAAGCAUGAGAAGACUACAUACGAGUUGUAUGUACAUGGUAUGAGAGUUAGGGUCCAAC